UAGGGAAUCUUCCACAAUGGACGCAAGUCUGAUGGAGCAACGCCGCGUGAGUGAAGAAGGUUUUCGGAUCGUAAAGCUCUGUUGUUGGUGAAGAAGGAUAGAGGCAGUAACUGGUCUUUAUUUAACGGUAAUCAACCAGAAAGUCACGGCUAACUACGUGCCAGCAGCCGCGGUAAUACGUAGGUGGCAAGCGUUGUCCGGAUUUAUUGGGCGUAAAGCGAGCGCAGGCGGAAUGAUAAGUCUGAUGUGAAAGCCCACGGCUCAACCGUGGAACUGCAUCGGAAACUGUCAUUCUUGAGUGCAGAAGAGGAGAGUGGAAUUCCAUGUGUAGCGGUGGAAUGCGUAGAUAUAUGGAAGAACACCAGUGGCGAAGGCGGCUCUCUGGUCUGCAACUGACGCUGAGGCUCGAAAGCAUGGGUAGCGAACAGG
rnacentral:rRNA from 1 species